rnacentral:rRNA from 1 species
CACGGGGGGAGCAAGCGUUGUUCGGAAUUACUGGGCGUAAAGGGCGUCUAGGCGGUUAGGUAAGUGGGAUGUGAAAUCCCUCGGCUCACCCGAGGACCUGCAUCCCAAACUGCUUAGCUUGAGUAUGGGAGAGGAUGAGGGAAUUCCUGGUGUAGCGGUGAAAUGCGUAGAUAUCAGGAGGAACACCAGUGGCGAAGGCGGCUCACUGGACGACUGUUGACGCUGAGGUGCGAAAGCGUGGGGAGCAAACAGG